rnacentral:rRNA from 1 species
AUGGUGGCAGUGGCGCCAAGUAGGCAAAGGAGAGAUGAUAUAGGAGCCAGUUCGCUCAGCUCUUUCAAUCAAAGUUUUGGCAACAAACUUAGUCAAAGCCGCAACACCAAAACAUCCCAGUUCGAAGGGAGAUUCAUACAUGGAAGAAAUCGAUCAAAGGUACUGUCAAGAUUAAUGUGGAAUCAUCAUGUCAUGAGGAAACACUCUCAGGCUCUAGUGAAGCGGUGGCGAGAGACCAUAAAGGAAAUUUUAUUUCGGCAACAACUUGGGUUCUACCCCAUGUUCGCGUUACAGAAUCAGCAGAGCUGA